GGAUUGAAAUGGGCGCAGCCUGAUCCAGCAAUGCCGCGUGAGUGAAGAAGGCCUUCGGGUUGUAAAGCUCUUUUGUCAGGGAAGAAACGGUCUGUUCUAAUACAGCGGGCUAAUGACGGUACCUGAAGAAUAAGCACCGGCUAACUACGUGCCAGCAGCCGCGGUAAUACGUAGGGUGCAAGCGUUAAUCGGAAUUACUGGGCGUAAAGCGUGCGCAGGCGGUUUUGUAAGUCUGUCGUGAAAUCCCCGGGCUCAACCUGGGAAUGGCGAUGGAGACUGCAAGGCUAGAGUUUGGCAGAGGGGGGUAGAAUUCCACGUGUAGCAGUGAAAUGCGUAGAUAUGUGGAGGAACACCGAUGGCGAAGGCAGCCCCCUGGGUCAAAACUGACGCUCAUGCACGAAAGCGUGGGGAGCAAACAGGAUUAGAUACCCUGGUAGUCCACGCCCUAAACGAUGUCUACUAGUUGUCGGGUCUUAAUUGACUUGGUAACGCAGCUAACGCGUGAAGUAGACCGCCUGGGGAGUACGGUCGCAAGAUUAAAACUCAAAGAAAUUGACGGA
rnacentral:rRNA from 1 species